GCCAAAUACAGACACACACGUGCAUCUCCCAUCUAAGAGAGAAGAUUCCUGACGAUUAUUAUUAGACACAAGACAGGCACUAUAUUAUUGCUGAUAAUCCCAGGAGGACAUCAGGACGAUUUCUUGGAGAGUAAAGAGAGCUCAUAGACAAGGAGUCCAACAACUAUGAGAAGCACAAUUGCCAUGAAAAUCCAGGGCACCCCCUUGAGUUCACAAGGAAGAAGUGCAGAAAACAGCAGUGUCAGUGACAGGAGGGCACAUACAAAGGCUAUCAGGUGAAUCCCUCGAGCCACCUUGGGAUAGACCCGCCACAGAAGAAUUCCAACUAUUGAUGCAUAAAAAUUUAUCAUCACCAGGAAGAAGAAAAAGAUGUGGCAAGUGGAACGGCUAACAGCAAAUUGUCCAUUGCCGUUGACAGCCCACAAGGCCGUAAAGAGAUUG
rnacentral:misc_RNA from 1 species